GUGGGGAAUAUUCCGCAAUGGACGAAAGUCUGACGGAGCAACGCCGCGUGAGUGAUGAAGGUUUUCGGACUGUAAAGCUCUGUUGUUUAGGACGAAAGUGCCUGUUGCAAACAGUUACAGGUAUUGACGGUACUAAACGAGGAAGCCACGGCUAACUACGUGCCAGCAGCCGCGGUAAUACGUAGGUGGCAAGCGUUGUCCGGAAUUAUUGGGCGUAAAGAGCAUGUAGGCGGGAAUCUAAGUCUGUUGUGAAAAUGCGGGGCUCAACCCCGUAUUGCGAUGGAAACUGGGUUUCUUGAGUGCAGGAGAGGAAAGGGGAAUUCCCAGUGUAGCGGUGAAAUGCGUAGAUAUUGGGAGGAACACCAGUGGCGAAGGCGCCUUUCUGGACUGUGUCUGACGCUGAGAUGCGAAAGCCAGGGUAGCGAACGGGAUUAGAUACCCUGGUAGUCC
rnacentral:rRNA from 1 species